CAGAGGAAACCUGAAGAAGUUGAUGACAUCACUGAUGACAUCACGUACAGUGACGUCAAAAUAUCUCGUCAGCAGCCAAUCAGACGGAGUGGAGAGAGUGAUCCAGCUGCAGUUUACUCAGCAGUGAAAACAACAGAAGACGUCAGUUAUGGACAAAUAGUCAUCAAAUCAAACAGGAAGAGAGUGUCUCCAUUAGAGCCAGAGGUUGUCUACUCUUCACUGAGGUAGACCUCCACACCUUCACACCAGUCCAACCACUGACGUCCAGCUGGCCUGUUACUGGUCUCCAGAGCCCCUCAGACAGUAGUACAUUCAUUUAUAGAUUUCAUACACUUCAUGUUGUUGUUCACUAAAUUAGACUCAGGCA